UACCAGCACCCCGAGUGGUCGGGACGUUUUAUUGGGCCUAAAGCAUCCGUAGCCGGUUUUACAAGUCCUCCGUUAAAUCCAGCUGCUUAACAGAUGGGCUGCGGAGGAUACUAUAAGACUAGGAGGCAGGAGAGGCAAGCGGUACUCAGUGGGUAGGGGUAAAAUCCGUUGAUCCAUUGAAGACCACCAGUGGCGAAGGCGGCUUGCCAGAAUGCGCUCGACGGUGAGGGAUGAAAGCUGGGGGAGCAAACCGG
rnacentral:rRNA from 1 species